GAUGCUGCUAGCAGGGCUAUUGAUUAUGUACAGAGACAGUUGCACUGUUGUGGAAUUCAUAACUACUCAGACUGGGAAAAUACAGAUUGGUUCAAAGAAACCAAAAACCAGAGUGUCCCUCUUAGCUGCUGCAGAGAGACUGCUAGUAGCUGCAAUGGCAGCCUGGCCAAUCCCUCUGACCUCUAUGCUGAGGGAUGUGAGGCUCUAGUUGUGAAGAAGCUACAAGAAAUCAUGAUGCAUGUUAUCUGGGCAGCACUGGCCUUUGCAGCAAUUCAGCUGCUGGGCAUGCUGUGUGCAUGCAUCGUGUUGUGCAGAAGGAGUAGAGAUCCUGCUUAUGAGCUCCUCAUCACUGGCGGAACCUAUGCAUAAUAGACAACACAAGCCUGAGCUUUUUUAGUCUUGUUCUGAUUUGGAAGGUGAAUUGAGCAAGUCUGCUGCAGUUGGCCUCC